CAUGGAGUAGUUCAGCAGGUAGAACGCCGACUCCGCGGGACGGAGGUCGCGGGUUCGAUUCCCGCCUCCAUGG
rnacentral:tRNA from 1 species